GACGACGCUGGGCGGCGUGCCUAACACAUGCAAGUCGAGCGAGGACAGAGACUUCGGUUUUGUUCUAGCGGCGGACGGGUGAGUAACGCGUGAGCAACCUGGCUCAUACAGGGGGAUAACAUCGGGAAAUCGGUGCUAAUACCGCAUGAGACCACAUUGUCGAAUGACAAAGGGGUCAAAGGAGGAAUCCGGUAUGAGAGGGGCUCGCGUCCCAUUAGCUAGUUGGAGGGGUAAUGGCCCACCAAGGCGACGAUGGGUAGCCGACCUGAGAGGGUGAUCGGCCACACUGGGACUGAGACACGGCCCAGACUCCUACGGGAGGCAGCAGUGGGGAAUAUUGGGCAAUGGGGGGAACCCUGACCCAGCAACGCCGCGUGAGAGAAGAAGGUUUUCGGAUUGUAAAUCUCUGUUGUCAGGGACGAAGAAGUGACGGUACCUGACGAGGAAGCCCCGGCUAACUACGUG
rnacentral:rRNA from 1 species